AGUCGCGAACGGGUGAGUAACGCGUAGGUAACCUACCUUUAAGCGGGGGAUAACUAUUGGAAACGAUAGCUAAUACCGCAUAAAAGGAGCUAACCCAUGUUAGCUUUUUAAAAGGUGCAACAGCAUCACUUAAAGAUGGACCUGCGUUGUAUUAGCUAGUUGGUAAGGUAACGGCUUACCAAGGCUUCGAUACAUAGCCGACCUGAGAGGGUGAUCGGCCACACUGGGACUGAGACACGGCCCAGACUCCUACGGGAGGCAGCAGUAGGGAAUCUUCGGCAAUGGGGGGAACCCUGACCGAGCAACGCCGCGUGAGUGAAGAAGGUUUUCGGAUCGUAAAGCUCUGUUAUAAGCGAAGAAUAGGAGUAAGAGUGGAAAGUUUACUCUAUGACGGUAGCUUAUCAGAAAGGGACGGCUAACUACGUGCCAGCAGCCGCGGUAAUACGUAGGUCCCGAGCGUUGUCCGGAUUUAUUGGGCGUAAAGCGAGCGCAGGUGGUUUAAUAAGUCUGAAGUUAAAGGCAGUGGCUCAACCAUUGUACGCUUUGGAAACUGUUAAACUUGAGUGCAGAAGGGGAGAGUGGAAUUCCAUGUGUAGCGGUGAAAUGCGUAGAUAUAUGGAGGAACACCGGUGGCGAAAGCG
rnacentral:rRNA from 1 species